UGGGGAAUCUUGCGCAAUGGGGGAAACCCUGACGCAGCGACGCCGCGUGCGGGAUGAAGGCCUUCGGGUUGUAAACCGCUUUCAGCAGGGACGAGGCCUUAUGGUGACGGUACCUGCAGAAGAAGCUCCGGCUAAAUACGAGCCAGCAGCCGCGGUAAUACGUAUGGAGCAAGCGUUAUCCGGAUUCAUUGGGCGUAAAGCGCUCGUAGGCGGUCUGUUAGGUCGGCAAGUUAAAUCCGGGGGCUCAACCCCCGUCCGCUUCCGAUACCGGCAGACUUGAGUUUGGUAGGGGAAGGUGGAAUUCCUAGUGUAGCGGUGGAAUGCGCAGAUAUUAGGAAGAACACCGGUGGCGAAGGCGGCCUUCUGGGCCAUAACUGACGCUUCGGAGCGAAAGCUAGGGGAGCGAACAGG
rnacentral:rRNA from 1 species